GAAGUGUCUAACGCGGGUCUGCCGCUUUCGCAGGCGCCUCCUCGUGCCCCGUCCUGGAGCCGGCAGUGACAGGAGCAGGACUUGGAAACAUCCAGCGCUCCAUGCGUGAAGGAUCCUGGGCGCCAGACUCCACAGAUGGAGACGACCCGAGCAGGGUGGGGGCCCGGAGGAAAUCAGCCUGUGCAGGGCCAUGUCCCGAGAUGCAAGGAAGCUAGCAGCAGAUUUGGCGGCAGGAGGGAGUGGUGAGUGGCUGGACACAAAAUUUGGUGGUGGGGUGGGUGUGGUGCUUAGUGGCUGGAUGUGAAGCCAACGGCAGUGACACUCCACUCCACUCCACUCCACAGAAAUAAUGCUGCAACCUCACCUUCUAUAAAAGGCUUACUCUGUUGCAGCGGCAGUGCCACCCCACUCAGUGUGCCACUCCACCCAAAUCUGCAGGGCCCCCCAGAGCGUGGGGCUUGGGGUGGUAACUCUAAUUUGGCCCCCGCUAGGGAUGGCCCUGCCCAUAGACUUCAUAUUCUCCUUCCCCGUCCUUGGGUGAGGUGUUGAGCACUUUGAUCUGUGCAGGCUUCAGGUUUUGUUAGCCACUCUUCCUCAUGUUCCCAAAACCCAGCCCCUGUGAACCUGUCCUACCUGACAGCCUUUCCUAGUCUCCCCUGCUGCCAAAUCUGCCACCAGCUUCCUUGUGUUCAGGGGUUUGAUUUGAUGGGCUGAUUUGCCUUGGGCCUCACACCCUGCUCAGGUCGUCUCUGGUUGCCGGAGAGCAGAGAGAAUGUCUCCUUGCCCCACCGGCUCUUGGUUUCUCUCAGCUUGAAGCUGCUUAUCUGUUUCCGUUCCCCUUUUCCCUCCUCCUCUCCCUCUGCUGCCACUGUCUCCUCAAUGUGCUGGAUGUUGGUGUAAGCCAGGUCUGUGGGCCACACAGGCGGUUCCGGGGAUAUGCAGCUACACUGGUCCCAGUUACCCCGACCAUUACUGGUCCCAGUUACCCUGUUUUCCUGUCCCAGCUAUCCCCCUACCCCCUUUUCUGGUUCUAAUUAAAAAGCUAUACUGGUCCCAGCUACCCCCACCUUUAGUGAUCCCAAUUACCCAGCUCUACUGGUCCCAGUUACACCCCCACUUCACUGGUCCCAAUUACCCAGCUA